AGCUCCAAUAGCGUAUAUUAAAGUUGUUGCAGUUAAAAAGCUCGUAGUUGGAUUUGUGGCGUGUGCCUUGGCGUUGGGAUUGAUUUCCUUUUCUGCCUCGGCCGUGCCAUCCUUGGGUGGAAUCUGUGUGGCAUUAGGUUGUCGUGCAGGGGAUGCCCAUCGUUUACUGUGAAAAAAUUAGAGUGUUCAAAGCAGGCUUAUGCCGUUGAAUAUAUUAGCAUGGAAUAAUAAGAUAGGUCUUUGGUCCUAUUUUGUUGGUUUGCGGGCCGGAGAAAUGAUUAACAGGGACAGUUGGGGGUAUUCGUAUUCCAUUGUCAGAGGUGAAAUUCUUGGAUUUCUGGAAGACGAACUACUGCGAAAGCAUUUACCAAGGAUGUUUUCA
rnacentral:rRNA from 1 species